AAUAGAUACCCGGGUAGUCCACGCCGUAAACGAUGUCGACUUGGAGGUUGUUCCCUUGAGGAGUGGCUUCCGGAGCUAACGCGUUAAGUCGACCGCCUGGGGAGUACGGCCGCAAGGUUAAAACUCAAAUGAAUUGACGGGGGCCCGCACAAGCGGUGGAGCAUGUGGUUUAAUUCGAUGCAACGCGAAGAACCUUACCUACUCUUGACAUCCAGAGAACUUGGCAGAGAUGCUUUGGUGCCUUCGGGAACUCUGAGACAGGUGCUGCAUGGCUGUCGUCAGCUCGUGUUGUGAAAUGUUGGGUUAAGUCCCGCAACGAGCGCAACCCUUAUCCUUUGUUGCCAGCGAUUCGGUCGGGAACUCAAAGGAGACUGCCAGUGAUAAACUGGAGGAAGGUGGGGAUGACGUCAAGUCAUCAUGGCCCUUACGAGUAGGGCUACACACGUGCUACAAUGGCGCAUACAAAGAGAAGCGACCUCGCGAGAGCAAGCGGACCUCAUAAAGUGCGUCGUAGUCCGGA
rnacentral:rRNA from 1 species